rnacentral:rRNA from 1 species
UACGAGGGGUGCAAGCGUUGCUCGGAAUUAUUGGGCGUAAAGAGCUCGUAGGCGGUCUGUUACGUCCGCUGUGAAAACCCAGGGCUUAACCCUGGGCUUGCAGUGGAUACGGGCAGACUAGAGGCAGGUAGGGGAGAAUGGAAUUCCCGGUGUAGCGGUGAAAUGCGCAGAUAUCGGGAGGAACACCGGUGGCGAAGGCGGUUCUCUGGGCCUGACCUGACGCUGAGGAGCGAAAGCGUGGGGAGCGAACAGG